rnacentral:tRNA from 1 species
GCUAAGGUGGCAGAGCCCGGUAAUUGCAAAAGGCCUAAGCCCUUUCCAUCGGAGGUUCAAAUCCUCUCCUUCAGCU